GAGGUCAGUGGUAGAGCACCUGCUUGGAAUGCAGAAGGUCUCAGGUUCAAUCCCUGACAUCUCCA